CAAACAUUGACUUAAAUCAUGUAUCAGUUGUCCAGCAGGCUUAAAUAUCCGAAAUUUAAAAGCCAAGUCUCUAAGUGACUAUGAAGUUGGUGCCUGCAGUGAGACUGAUCCACCUGACCUACAGACAAACUCUUUAGGGUUCACAUAGCCUAAUCAUGAAAAAGACACCAGACAAAUUCCAAUUGAAGGACAUUCUAGAGAAUACCUGACCAGAACUCCUCAAACCUGUCAAGAUGAUCAAAACCAAGGAAAAUCACAGACACUGUCAUGACCAAAAGGAGCCUAUGGAGACACAGCUACUAAAUAUAAUGUGGUUUCCUGGAUGGGAUCCUGGAAAGAGCCCAAGGGAAACAUAGCCAUGGGACAUCUUUCUUCAAUGAAGUCUACAUUUACAGCAACCAAGCGCACACAACUCCAUUUCCUGUUUAUGUAAGACUUCUUGCUACUGGAUGCAGGGAAAAUAUAUCCCUCUUAUUGGCUUUCCCAUAAAGGUAUCUCCCACUCACCAAUGCCCUAUUCUUUUCAGCUGACGAAUUUCAAAUGACCUUCUUGUUCUGCCAAUACAUUGUGGAGAUACCAUCACUGAAAGCCGGCCCUUGCUACUGCUGACUCUGUCAUAUGGGGAAGGGGACAGUGUGUAAUUCUGCCUGUGGUAAUCUGCUUGUGGCAGUGAUUUUAUAGCCUGCAAACUUUUGCUUAUUGUACCCAGAUGUUGUAUGAUACUUUGCCAAAAAUACAUCUUUUAAAGAAUCUGUCUUAACUCUUUGUUUUGAGAUAAUUUUAUGCUUACAAUAUUUGUCUCAUCAUGUUCUCUCUCUGUCUCUGUAUGUAAACAUUUUUGAACCAUUUGAGAGUAAGUUGCAAAGAAAAUACGCCAUUACCUUAGUGUACAAUUCCUAAAAAUAAGGGUAUUUUCUUACAAAACCAGAGUACAAUUUUCAAAAUCAGAACAUUUAUGUAAGUGCAGUUCUAUUAUCUAAUACAUAGACUUUAGUCAAGUUUUGUAAUUUUUUACUGGCCCAGGAUCAAUCUGGUAUUCAUGUUGCCCUUGGUUUUCUUGUCUCA
rnacentral:lncRNA from 10 species